GACGAACGCUGGCGGCGUGCUUAACACAUGCAAGUCGAACGGGAAGGCCCUGCUUUGGGGGGGUGCGCGAGUUGCGAACGGGUAAGUAACACGUGAGUAACCUACCCUUGACUUUGGGAGAACUUCAGGAAACUGGGGCUAAUAGCGGAUAGGAUCUCCUGCUGUAUGGUGGGGGUGGGUAGGUUUCGGCGGUUGGGGAGGGACUCGCGGCUUAUUGGCUUGUUGGUGGGGUAGUGGCUUACCAAGGCUUUGACGGGUAGCCGGACUGAGAGGGUGACCGGCCACAUUGGGACUGAGAUACGGACCAGACUCCGACGGGAGCCAGAAGUGGCGAAUAUUGAAAAAUGGGAGGAAGCGUGAUGCAGAAACGCCGAGUGCGGGAUGACGGCCUUCGGGUUGUAAACCGAUUUCGCCUGUGACGAAGCGUGAGUGAAGGUAAUGGGUAGAGAAGCACCGGCCAACUACGUG
rnacentral:rRNA from 1 species